rnacentral:rRNA from 1 species
CCCCAGCGCCACAAGUGGGAACCACGUUAUUGGGUCUAAAGCAUCCGUAGUCGGCUUUGUAAAUGUCCUGUGAAAUCGUUACGCUCAACGUAACGGCGUGCAGGACACACUGCAUUACUAGAGACCAGGAAGGGUAGGGAGUAUUCCCGGGGGAGCGGUAAAAUGUUAUAAUCCCGGGAGGACUACCAAUGGCGAAGGCACCCUACUAGAAUGGAUCUGACGAUCAGGGAUGAAAGCUAGGGGAGCGAUCCGG